rnacentral:rRNA from 1 species
UCGAGCGGGCGUAGCAAUACGUCAGCGGCAGACGGGUGAGUAACGCGUGGGAACGUACCUUUUGGUUCGGAACAACACAGGGAAACUUGUGCUAAUACCGGAUAAGCCCUUACGGGGAAAGAUUUAUCGCCGAAAGAUCGGCCCGCGUCUGAUUAGCUAGUUGGUGAGGUAAUGGCUCACCAAGGCGACGAUCAGUAGCUGGUCUGAGAGGAUGAUCAGCCACAUUGGGACUGAGACACGGCCCAAACUCCUACGGGAGGCAGCAGUGGGGAAUAUUGGACAAUGGGGGCAACCCUGAUCCAGCCAUGCCGCGUGAGUGAUGAAGGCCCUAGGGUUGUAAAGCUCUUUUGUGCGGGAAGAUAAUGACGGUACCGCAAGAAUAAGCCCCGGCUAACUUCGUGCCAGCAGCCGCGGUAAUACGAAGGGGGCUAGCGUUGCUCGGAAUCACUGGGCGUAAAGGGUGCGUAGGCGGGUCUUUAAGUCAGGGGUGAAAUCCUGGAGCUCAACUCCAGAACUGCCUUUGAUACUGAGGAUCUUGAGUUCGGGAGAGGUGAGUGGAACUGCGAGUGUAGAGGUGAAAUUCGUAGAUAUUCGCAAGAACACCAGUGGCGAAGGCGGCU